UGGGGAAUAUUGGACAAUGGGCGAAAGCCUGAUCCAGCCAUGCCGCGUGUGUGAAGAAGGUCUUCGGAUUGUAAAGCACUUUAAGUUGGGAGGAAGGGCAGUAAAUUAAUACUUUGCUGUUUUGACGUUACCGACAGAAUAAGCACCGGCUAACUCUGUGCCAGCAGCCGCGGUAAUACAGAGGGUGCAAGCGUUAAUCGGAAUUACUGGGCGUAAAGCGCGCGUAGGUGGUUCGUUAAGUUGGAUGUGAAAUCCCCGGGCUCAACCUGGGAACUGCAUUCAAAACUGACGAGCUAGAGUAUGGUAGAGGGUGGUGGAAUUUCCUGUGUAGCGGUGAAAUGCGUAGAUAUAGGAAGGAACACCAGUGGCGAAGGCGACCACCUGGACUGAUACUGACACUGAGGUGCGAAAGCGUGGGGAGCAAAACAGGAUUAGAUACCCUGGUAGUCCACGCCGUAAACGAUGUCAACUAGCCGUUGGGAGCCUUGAGCUCUUAGUGGCGCAGCUAACGCAUUAAGUUGACCGCCUGGGGAGUACGGCCGCAAGGUUAAAAG
rnacentral:rRNA from 1 species